CCGGCCCGGCCCGGCCCGGCCCCCGCCUCCCGUCCCCGGCACCGCCUCAUGCAGCGUCGCGACGACCCUGCCGGUCGCUUAUCGCGGGGACAGGGCCCCGGCGGCCGCGCGCCGCCGCCGCGCCGAGCGCCCCGUGGCGGAGGGGCCCGCGGGGCCGCCAGCGGAGCGCAGCCGCCGCCCGGUGGGGCCGCAGCCGGCGGGGCUUCAGGCGCCGGUAAGAUGGAGCCCGAGAACAAGUACCUGCCCGAGCUGAUGGCAGAGAAGGACAGCCUGGACCCGUCCUUCACGCACGCCAUGCAGCUCCUGACCGCAGAAAUUGAAAAAAUUCAGAAGGGAGAGACAACAAAGAAGGAUGAGGAGGAGAACUACCUGGAUUUAUUUUCCCACAAGAACAUGAAACUGAAGGAACGAGUUCUGAUCCCUGUCAAACAAUACCCCAAGUUCAACUUUGUUGGGAAGAUUUUGGGACCCCAAGGCAACACCAUUAAGAGACUUCAGGAAGAAACUGGUGCUAAAAUCUCUGUACUGGGGAAAGGCUCCAUGAGGGACAAAGCCAAGGAGGAGGAGCUGCGCAAAGGGGGGGACCCCAAGUACGCCCACCUGCACAUGGACCUGCACGUGUUCAUCGAGGUCUUCGGGCCCCCGUGCGAGGCCUACGCCCUCAUGGCCCACGCCAUGGAGGAGGUCAAGAAAUUCCUGGUCCCUGACAUGAUGGAUGAUAUCUGCCAGGAGCAGUUCCUGGAGCUCUCCUAUCUCAACGGGGUCCCAGAGCCCAACCGCGGCCGAGGCGUCCCCGGGCGGGGCCGGGGGGCAGCCCCACCUCCCCCUGUGCCAAGGGGCCGUGGGGUGGGUCCCCCUCCUCCUCCUCCUCCCCCCAGGGGUGCCCUGGUGCGGGGAGCCCCCGUGCGCGGGGCCCUGGCCCGGGGCGCUGCCAUGGCCCGGGGGGUGCCCCCUCCCCCGGCCGUCAGGGGAGCCCCCGCGCCGCGGGCACGGGCAGCUGGCAUCCAGAGGAUCCCCCUGCCCCCUCCGCCCGUGCCAGAGAGCUACGAGGAAUAUGGCUACGAUGACACCUACGCAGAGCAGAGCUACGAGGGCUACGAGGGCUACUACAGCCAGGGCCAAGGGGAUACAGAAUAUUAUGAUUAUGGACAUGGGGAGGCACAGGAAACCUAUGAAGCUUAUGGCCAAGAUGACUGGAAUGGAACCCGGCCCUCCCUGAAGGCCCCCCCAGCCCGGCCAGUCAAGGGGGGCUACAGAGAGCACCCCUACGGCCGCUACUGACCCCAAAAACGGGGCCAAAAAUCCCAAUUUAGGAGCAAACUCUUGUUACUGGUUCUUGUAUCUCCCGGGAUUCCCGUUGCUUUACCCACAGCAGACAAGAAUUGGGGGCCCGUGACUCAACAGGAGGAGGAGGAGGAGGAGGAGGAAGAGCAGGGCCAGUGCCAGCUGGGUGAGUUUGGACUUUUGGGGGAUUUUUUUACAACCCCUUGUUGAGUUCCCAGCGUGGGGGUGGCACCAUCUGAGCUGCUAAAUUCCAAUUUUUAUUUCUUUUUCUUUCCUCUCCUUGGAUCCACACCAAAAAAACCAAAAGGGGAAAGCUGCUCCCCUGAGGUCACAGCGUGGAGGAGGCUCCUGAGCUGAGGUUUUUGGGGGGGAUUUUAAGGGAUUUUGGCACGCAGGAAUUUCAUGGGAGCUCUGGAAGCUUCUUUGCUUCCCAAACUUUGGGAUAUUUUUUCCCCCAUGCUCAAGGAAUUCCCUCUGGAGGCCACAAUUCAGGGAAAUCCAGGAAGAAUUCCAGGCUGCAGAGCUUUGCACAGCCUCUGUUAUGGGAUGUGGCUUUGAUGGAAUCCUGCCAGGGAAUCUCCCCACGGUGAUUUUUGGGGCUUUCAAACCCUAAAAAAUGGUGGGGUUUUUUUCUGGUAAUUCUCGUGACAAAACAAAAAAAUUUUUUGAGCUUGUCAAGCUUAGAUUUAUUUUAAAAAAUACAAAAAAAGACAAAAGAAGUUGCUUUGCACCCUCUGGAAGUUGCUGAAAGUGGUUUUGGGCCAGAAAUCUGAAUUUGGAAAGCAUUUGAUGGUUGUUUGCUUGGUGAUUUAGAUUAAUCUCACCCCAUUGCCAUGGGCAGGGAUUCCUUUCCCUGUCCCAAGUUGCUCUAACCUGGAACAUUUUCAGGGAUGGAGCAGAGGGGAUGAUUCCCUAAAAAAAAAUCUCUUUUCUGGAUGAUUUGGAGUGGUUGUGGGGUGAUCACAUCAGCAAGGACACAAUUCCUUCAUCCCCUUCCCUGUGGGAUUCCAAAAUGCUGCCCCUGGAAAUCUGAGCUCCACAAAUCAAAAUCCACCUUGAAAUGCUGGAAAAGCCCAAAUCCAAGCUGAGCAUGGGACAUCAAAGGAUAAAUCUUAAUUUUAUAGGGGGUUAUAAAGCUCCCAAAUGAGCCCUUUUUACUCAGGAGCAUCAGGAGCAGGGAAGAGCCAAUUUGUGGGAAUGCUGCAGCAGGGGGUUCACCCUGAAUUCCUGCACUUGAAAAUUGAAUUUCUCUUAAAAAAAAUCUCUUUGCUGGGUGAUUGGGAGUGGUGGGGAGAUGAUCACAUCAGCAAGGACACAAUUCCUUCAUCCCCUUUCCUUAUGGGAUUCCAAAAUGCUGCCCCUGGAAAUCUGAGCUCCCUGGAAAUCUGAGCUCCACAAAUUAAAACCACCAAGGAAUCCACCCCUGAAAUGCUGGAAAAGCCCAAAUCCAACCUAAGCACGGGACAUAAAAGGAUAAAUCUUAAUUUUAUAGGGGAUUAUAAAGCUCUCUUUUACCUCAGGAGCAUCAGGAGCAGGGAAGAGCCAAUUUGUGGGAAUGCUUCAGCAGGGAGUUCACCCUGAAUUCCCUGAAAAUUGAAUUUCCCUCCUGGCAGGAGGGAAAUGAUAACAGGCCUGGAUUUGUGCUUAUCAAAUCCAUCUUCAUUUCCCGUGGAACUGGAGCAUCAAUUUUUUAUGGCAAUGCACCAAUCUCUCCCAUUUCUCUCCUAAAUAGGCCCAGCUUUUAGAUCAAGUGGAAAAGAUUUGAUAGAGAUCAUCUCUUAGCAAGCAAUUUAUUCCCAAAUGGAUCUUGUGGUGCUGCCUGUGCAAUAACCCAGCUCGUGCCUUGCUUUUUGUGGGAUGCUGAUGGGGAAAGGAUGGAAAUGUGAAAAUAUUGGAAUAACUGGAUGUGCUUGGGAGUGUUUUGCAAACAUCCCUUGGAUCAGACAGCUCCCUCCUUCCUUCCCUCCCUCUCCCAGCACUUUUCCAGCCAGGAUUUAGCCCUGGAGGCUGCCAGAGCUCAUUUGGGAUCCCAAAAUAAACCCCUCAGCUUCAGAAGCAGCCAAACACUGCGGGGUGAGGCAGGGAUUUGGGAGGGAUGGAGAUUCCUGGGAGCCUGAGUCACCUCAGUUACCUGCAGAACUUUCCCUUCCCUGCUGGAAUUCUGCUCCCAAGUGCCAGGGAUCUCCUCCUCUCCCUGUUUUCCCAUCCACAUCUUGUUAUUUGUAGGAUUUUGGGCAAGACCCCGAUCCAGAGAAAAUCCCCCGUUGUUCUUGGCUCUGUUCACAUCUCUGGAAGUGUUUCCCAACAAAAUCCUGGUUUUUGUCAGGCUGGGAACAGCCCCCUGCUCCAUGGCUCAGCAUUCCCAUCUUCCCAGGCUGCUGUGGUGUUUGUGAGGUGAGAGAUGAGGAUUUCACUCCCCAGGUUCCCAGAAGGCUGAUUUAUUAUUUUAUGAUGUUAUAUUAAAAGAAAAUUAUAUACUAAAACUAGUAUAUCUACUAAAUACUAAAUAUAUAUACUAAAACUACACUAAAGAAAGAAAAAAAGAGGCAUCAGAAGAUUAAACAAGAAUGAGAAUAAAAACUCGUGACUGACCAGAGUCUGACACAGCUGGCCUGAGAUUGGUCAUUAAUUUAACAAAAAUUAACAUGGAACCAAUCAAAGAUGCACUUGUUGGUAACCUCCAGACCACAUUCCAAGCAAUCAGAUAAUCAUGGUUUACAUUUUUUUUCUGAGGUUUCUCAGGAGAAAAAUCCUGGCAAAGGGAUUUUUUAGAGAAUGUCAUGGUGGCACCCAGGCCUUUUCCCUGAGUGGGAGCAGCUCCUCCAGUGCAGCCCUGAGGUGUCAAACCCCAGCCUGGCCCUGCUCUGAGCUGGCCCAAACCUGGAUUUUGUCCUUUGUGAGGAGCGAAUCCCAGGAAAACGCUCCAGCUGGAAUUCCAGAGGUGUCCCCAGCAGCUUUUCCUGGAAGGAGCCUCACCCCCUGCCCCUUCCUUACCCCUGCCUUCCAUUUUCUGUUUGCAUUAUUUCAAUAAAGCCAGUGGCUGCGAGCUUCA